CGCAACGGCCGACGCGGCCCGGCAUUUUUCUCUAAAUCGGCAGUAAAUACAGCUGAGUAAAAUCAGCUUGGUUUUCUUCCUUCUUUUGUAACUGAACUGUUUUUAUUAAAAAUUCUAUUUGAAUAUGUAGAAAAAGUGGGGAUGUCCUGUAACAUAUCGUAGCUUUUCUUGUUUACAGGGUACUCAGAAAGCAUGCGUCCCUUAGAGUCCCACGGAAAGGUUCUCAGUGCGCUCUCUAUCAAGUGCUAUGAGUCUUGAUAAAUUGGAGAAGAGCCCAAGAGAAAUUUUUCAUCCCUUGAUAUAAAAGGGAUCGGUGAAUUUUAACUUUGGAGUCCUCUAUGCUAAGGAUGCUCAGCUUACAGGUGAUGAAAUGUUCAGUAAUGUAUUUGCUGCAGCUCUGCUUACCCAAGCUUUGGGUUCCUUCUGUCCCACUGGGAGUUGCCCAGUUUGGUUGCAUCUGGUGAAAUUCACCCUGAGACCUUACAGAACCAGCUCCAACUACAUGAGAGCCAUUUGCAGUUCUCUCCAGACACCUGGAGAAUGGGCGACAUUUCUGAGGAUCCGGCGAGCGUGCCUCUAUCAAAACUCAGUCUGUGAAGUUUCUGGGGAAAACCCUUCUGUGUCCUGAAGGGUUCAAACUCUGGGAAAGACUCUCGUAUCCUCGUCGUCGGGCUCGGUGCUGUCCAAGAAGAUACAGAGACUAAAAAAAUCAUAAGAAGCAAAAUAUGACUGCAGGGAAAAGAAGCUGGAGAGAACAGAAGGCUGCCAUUUGUGUGCCAUCGGUACUCACCAUGGAAGCGAGCUGGGGAUUGUUGCACCCGUUGGGAACAAACCGCUUCUCGUCACACAGAAAUGGAAUUGGGACGACGCCUCGGUCAGCCCCUCUCUGCCAUCGUCUCCUGAAUCUGCAGCAGAGCAGUUCCAGUCCAUCCGGGCACGUGUAAUCCAGUUCCUGAUGAUCUGAGCACACGGAGCAGCGCUCAGCUGCUGUGGGGGGCUCACGGAAGGCAGAGUGUGCAUUGUCAUCUUCCUGAACCUACAGACAAAUCAAAGUGAGAAGCCACAGCGUGGAAAUCAUUUGCAUAUAUGCUAAACAAAACUUGCAGGUUUUUUUUAAGAAUUGUUUCUGCUUGUUCUUUGUUGUGCUUCUGUGCUUAGAAAACCUCCCUUUAAAAUCAGUUCAGUUCAUCAGUUGAACCUUUGUUUGCAGACCCUCAGUGAGCAGAAUUUGUUGCAGACUCAGUGCACGCUGUGCCGGCCUCCCGGGAGUGUGAGGAGCUCAUGUGUGCUACUUUUUGCUUUAGGACGCUCUGAGGUAUUUAUUCCUUUUGGGAUACGUGAUGAGAAUUCCCAGGAGAGGUAGUUAUAAGGUAUGACAUUGGGAAAAAGCCUGUGUGGUUGGAAUGUUGUUGCUGUCAAAAGUUAAUUUUUCCUUCAUUCUUAGCCAGUAGUUAGCUUUGUGCUUUAUUUUUGUGGUAUCAGUAUUUUAUUGUUUAAAAAAUUCCUUCAAAAUAACUUCAGUGGUUGCCCACCAGUACCUUGUUCAGAUUUGCCUAUUUGCUUGUAGCUGAAAUGUUCACAUCUUGUUUAUCAUUCUAUUUAAGAAACUGCUGCCCAGCCAACUAAUAACUGAAUAUCCAUCUGUCUAGGACACGGGGAGAGGAUUUAGGUAAUGUCUUUGUUUCCAGAAAAAAGUUCCAGUGAAGUUUCUAAAUAGAGGAGAAGGGGGUGAAGACUCAGGGCUCUGAUGCCGUUGGGGCACCCCAAGGUCCCCAGGAGAGGGAGCGGUGCAGGAGCAGGUGUGUUCUCAUCUAAUAUUGAACAAAUUAUAAAUAUAAAUAUGAAAGUUAUAAACAUGAAAAUAUUUUUAAAAUACUUAAAUGAAGCGGGUUUUCUUUAUUGGUCAAUAGGCAGGGUUUUGAUUGUAAAAAUUAUAAAUACAAAUAAUAUAAAAGUAGAAAUCUAAGUUUAGAAAUAUAUAAUAAAUACAUACAGAUAAAUAUAAAAAUUAAAAAUAUAAGAAAAAAUUAGUUGUAGCAGUAGAUAUUAUACAUAAUUUAAAUAAUAAUUUAAAUCUAUUUUUAAAUUUUAUAUAUAUAAUAUGUCAUUAUUAAUGUAAU